UACGUAGGGGGGCAAGCGUUGUCCGGAUUUAUUGGGCGUAAAGAGCGUGUAGGCGGCCAGGUAGGUCGGUUGCGAAAACUAGAGGCUCAACCUCUAGACGUCGACCGAAACCAUCUGGCUAGAGUCCGGAAGAGGAGAGUGGAAUUCCUGGUGUAGCGGUGAAAUGCGCAGAUAUCAGGAGGAACACCGGUGGCGAAGGCGGGUCUCUGGGCCGGUACUGACGCUGAGGCGCGAAAGCUAGGGGAGCGAACGGG
rnacentral:rRNA from 1 species